UUGAAAUCGACUUACAAAUUUAAAUUUAAAUUAUAAUUAUAAUUUAAAAUUCAAAUUUAAAUUUGAAUUUGACUAUAAAUUUAAAUUUAGAUUUUGAAUUAAAUUUUAUAUUUCAAUUCAAAUUUUUUCGUGUGAUCUAAGUGUGAUUAUGAAAGUUGUCAGUAAAAAUUUAAAGGGCAUUUUUGAAAAGUUUUACAUAUCGGCAAAUAUAAAAUUUAAAGGUAUCACGUCGCGGGACCCUUUUGUAAAUCAUUUUAUGAGAAAUGUAUACUUUGAGAUUCAAAGUUUGUGGAAAAGUGCCUUAUUUUUGAAACCUGGGUUGUCUAUGGGACGUGCAAACCCGCCACAAAUAUAGGGAUUCUUCUAUCCAUGCAGACAGAGCCUUCCUUUCAUUUGCAUGACGUGCCAUCCAAUUACAACACCAUACAAACUACAAUUUACACUCAAACUAAUCAACAAUAUACAAAUGCAAUGCGACUGCACAUACAGCUAACCGAUCCUUAGCGGAGAUGAUGCAUGUCCUGUACAUUUAGCUAAACACUCCUUAGAAGUGAUGAUACGAAUGCAAAAUACAUCAUUCAUUGAAAACCAACCAUCCUUUAAAGUAUUUCGCAUCCAAAAACUUUAUUUUAAGAUCCUAAAGAUAUGAUAAAUCUAAAAAUCAUUUGAAAAUCAUUUUCUACACGAAAAUAUAGCAUUUUAAAACAAACUACCAUAAGGGAUAGAAAAUAGUUUGCAGUAGAAACCGUGAAACUAAAGCCAUCAACUAUAAAGGCACAAACCCAAAACCAUAUCUAAAAACUAUAAUAACCAUAGUACCAAAGCCACAAAAUGAUAGCGCCAUAAAU
rnacentral:lncRNA from 1 species